UGUCGUUUGGAGAGGACACAAACAAAAACGCAGUCAAAUGUUUCUUAAAAUGAGAGAAUUUCAGAGUGCAGAGGAUAUAACGUUGGAUAAGGUUUUCAAAAAACAGAUAUAGGAGAAGGCUGCAUUGAAUAUAUGAAUUAUGGUCAGGCUGGAAAAAAUUAAAAUAUGUCAAUGAAAAAAGGAGGUCAGUCUGUCUGGGGUUUCUCUCUUUUCUGAGUGGCAUGGCAUUAGCAAGGCAGAAGAAAAGGCCCUGAAGAAAUUCUCACUUGAGUUGUCCUUUUUGGAGAAGAAACUGGAUAAGACUGGCCAACAGAGAUUGCAUUAAAUUAAUAGUGCUCCAUCAUGACAUUUUAAAAUAUUUUCAGUCACCUAACUGACUCUAUACAUUGCAAAAGUGGACAUAAAUUUUAUGUUUCUGUCACGUGGAAAAAAAUUCAAAACCUAUAUAUAAAUUGUUGAGUGCCAUGGUAUAACAGUCUACCUGAUUGCCAGUGAAAUUUCUGUUUCAGUGAAAUUUUUUUAAAGCAGUCACUUACUGGCCCAGUUAAUUUUUUUAGCUGUAACAUUUUAUAAAUAUUCUUACUAAGUGUUGUCUUGAUCUAUAAUAACCUUUUGAAAAUCCCAUGUUUUUGAUCCUAUUUGUAAGAAUUAGCCACUUUAUCUUCUAGGAUUUUUUUUUCAUUCGUCCCAUUAGAUUCUCAGACAUUGCUGGCCUGUAAGUGGAAUAGUAUCUGGCACAGACUGGUAUCAGCAAGUCAGAUAACAAAGAAUGUAAUUAUUUCUAUUUGCACGGUUGAAAAAAAUGCCAUCAUAGACUGCAUAAAACUGGAAAACUGAAGCAACUUAAUCAUUCUUAUGACUUUAUUAAUUACUGCUUAUGUGUAAAAUUUUGUUUUUGUUCUUCUAUUGAUAUAAUAAAAUGGUUUUACUCA